rnacentral:misc_RNA from 1 species
GCGCUCGGGGUCCAGCUUGUUUUCGACCUCGAAAUUCUUCUCCAGUGCCCGAACUUGGUCAACGCCCAGCCGCCGCUUCUUCUGGCCGAACGAGCUCAGUUCCUCUUCCGCACAGUCUUCUGUGUCAUCCAACAUUGGAAACACGCUGCCCAACAUCUUAUUCUUUUCCUCUAACGGAGAGACGGACAGUAGAGAAUCCGAGCUUCUCAGCCGCUUCAUACUUG